rnacentral:tRNA from 1 species
GACCGUGUGGUGUAGUGGUUUGAGCAUUGGACUAUGACUCUGGAGACCACGGAUCGAAUCCCUACUCAGCCA